AAAGGAAUAGACGGGGACCCGCACAAGCGGUGGAGCGUGUUCUUUAAUUCGAGGCUAAACGAAGAACCUUACCAGGGUUUGACAUCCUAGGAAUUUCUCCGAAAGGAGAGAGUACUUUAUUGAACCUAGUGACAGAUCUUGCAUGGCCGUCGUCAGCUCGUGUCGUGAGAUGUUUGGUUAAGUCCAUCAACGAGCGCAACCCUUAUGGCUAGUUGUAUUUUUCUAGUUAGACUGCCCCGGUAACGGGGAGGAAGGAGGGGAUGAUGUCAGGUCAGUAUUAGUCUUACACUCUGGGCUAGAAACGCGCUACAAUGGCCGGUACAACGGGCAGCAAAGCAGUAAUGUGAAGCAAAUCCCAUCAAAACCGGUCCCAGUUCGGAUUGAGGGCUGAAACUCGCCCUCAUGAAGUCGGAAUCGCUAGUAAUCGCAGAUCAGCACGCUGCGGUGAAUACGUUCCCGGGUCUUGUACACACCGCCCGU
rnacentral:rRNA from 1 species